rnacentral:sRNA from 12 species
AAUCGGCGUACAUCAGAGGGACGUGUCCCUGAAUGAGGAGCCGAAGGGAGCAAGCCACAGCAAAAGCGUUUGGUCAGAAAGUUUACUUCCUUAUCAAACGGAAAGCUGAAACAUCAAGUGUCGGGUAGAGUUUGGUAGGCUUCGGCUCGAAGAACUUAGACCCG